GACGAACGCUGGCGGCGUGCUUAACACAUGCAAGUCGAACGCUGAACCCGCUUCGGUGGGGGCUGCGUUGCGGACGGGUGAGUAACACGUUGGCAACCUGCCCCCGGCUCUGGGAUAGCUCCUAGCUAUUGGGGCUAAUACCGGAUGUGACCUCUUGCCGCAUGGUCUGGUGGUGGGACGGUUUUCCGGCUGGGGAUGGGCCCGGGGCCUAUCGGCUUGUUGGUGGGGUAGUGGCCGACCAAGGCGGCGCCGGGUAGCCGGCCUGGGCGGGUGACCGGCCACACUGGGACUGAGAGACGGCCCAGACGCGUACGUGAGGCAGCAGGGGGGAGUAUGGUGCAGUGGGCGGGAGCCUGAGGCAGCGACGCCGCGUGGGGGAAGAAGGCCUUCGGGGUGGAAACCGCUUUCAGCAGGGACGAAGCGCAAGUGACGGUACCUGCAGAAGAAGCACCGGCCAACUACGUG
rnacentral:rRNA from 1 species